GUAUAGUGGAUCCAGGAGGGGGCUGGAACAGUUGAGAGGACUGCUGAGGCCCAGGCAGAAAGUCAGACCUUGCAAAGUUUUCUGGAGGGACCCAGGUGGGUGGUGGAGGGCGAAGGUGAGGCUGGGAGGAGUGGAUUUAGACCAACUCCUCCCCAACCAUCAGGGGCCAGAGUGUCCCCACCAGCCACCAGCCUUUUCCCACAUGAGGUGGGACAGUGAACAAAGUUUUGGGCUAGCAGAACCAUCGGCAGGCAGCUGGGGUCCAAGUAUCUCCAAACCCAGCGGCACAUGGUGGGCCCGACAGGGUGUGUUACCAGUGAGGAUCCCAGAAGAAAGGGCUCCAGCUGAGCUCGUCUGUCACUCCUGCUCCUGAUAAUGGACGCAAUCCAGAAAUAACUUUUAUCACGGCCUAGCCUGCCUGGGUGGGCCUGGGUGGUGGCUGAGACUUGGAACCUUGCAGCUGAAGAUGACAUUGCAGGGACUUAAGAAUAUGAUUUUUUCCACUGUUGACUGCUCUCUGGUCUUUCGCACACUGCCACCUGCAGAGAAGAUAGAUGAGGGAAACACAGGUGGAGGGAUAAGGGCAGUCUCUUGUCUGGGAUGGCUUAAGACUAAUCUAGAAGAACAUGAUGUCACCACUUCAACUGAAAUCAAGAGAAGACAUCAAUCAGAAGGGCCUGUUGGCACUGUGGAGCAAUGAUGUCUAAAGACCUUGGAGGGGAUGAUUCAGCUACCCCAGGCAACUGCCUGACAUGUGGCACAGAGCAUGGAUGCCGGGGUGGGAGUACAUGUGCACCCUCAUUGCUUUUGGGUACUGUCAACUGAAGGUGGCACCAUGAUUGGAACACAGAUGGAUGAGAGCUGAUGCAUGGGCCCCCACACAUAGUUUAAGCCCAAGGAUGGGUGGUGGAUUUCUGAUAGCCUAGAGUUAUGAACUCAUCUUGUGUCUGACGUGACUGUCACCAAAAGAAGUGUGACAACACCACUUUGGCAGCCCAAUCUUUUGCAACCCCAUGAAAGAAAUACUGCAGAAGCCAGUAGAAGCAAUCCACUUGCCAGGUUGCCCUCCUGGAACCAGGGUCCACCCAUGAGAGCCAACGACAACCACAUCAGCCUUUGUGCUCCUUGGGGCAUCUGGUCAAUCUCCUGCAUGGGAUAGAAGCUCCGGGAAUACCCCAAAGGGGAGAAGCAGAGAAGAGGGCCUAUGCCCUUCCUUGUCCAGGCUUGGAGUGCCUCGCUUGGAUGAUACUGCUAGCCCCAACUGGUCCCAGACAUCAGAGAGGAAGUGUGGUCCUCCUGAGGUUUGGGGCCCAGGACAGGGGCUCUGCUUGCUCUGAUCUAAAAGCAGUACUGUUUCUAGGUUUACUACUCACUACUAACUACCUUAUUGAUUUUGUGCUUCUUGAUUUAAAAAUUCCAGAGAAAAUGGUUGUCUUAGCUAAUCAGUUUUGCUCUGAGCCAACGGUAUUCAAAGCAUGGCCUGUGGACCCCUAGUGGGUCUCCAAGACCCUCUCAGGGGUCUAUACAGUUAAAACUAUUUUUUUCAUGAUAAUAUUAAGAUGUCAUUUGCCUUUUUCACUAUGUUGACACUUGCAAUGAUGGUACAAAAGCUAUGGUGAAUAAAACUGCUGGCACCUUGGCACAAAUCAAAGCAAGGCCACCAACCAUUCUAAUAGUUGUAUUUUUUUUUUUUAUCAUCGGGCACUUUUUUUUCUUUUACUUAUUAUUAUUAUUAUACUUUAAGUUUUAGGGUACAUGUGCAUAAUGUGCAGGUUAGUUACAUAUGUAUACAUGUGCCAUGCUGGUGUGCUGCACCCAUUAACUUGUCAUUUAGCAUUAGGUAUAUCACCUAAUGCUAUCCCUCCCCUCUCCCCCCACCC
rnacentral:lncRNA from 1 species